rnacentral:rRNA from 1 species
GACGAACGCUGGCGGCGUGCUAAACACAUGCAAGUCGAACGGUGAAGCGCCUUCCUUUUUGGUGGGUGUGGAUGAGUGGCGAACGGGUGAGUAACACGUGAGUAACCUGCCCCCUUCUUCUGGAUAACCGCAUGAAAGUGUGGCUAAUACGGGAUAUUCUGGGUCUGUCGCAUGAUGGGUCUGGGAAAGAUAUUGUUUCGGUGGGGGAUGGGCUCGCGGCCUAUCAGCUUGUUGGUGGGGUGAUGGCCUACCAAGGCGGUGACGGGUAGCCGGCCUGAGAGGGUGGACGGUCACACUGGGACUGAGACACGACCCAGACUCCUACGGGAGGCAGCAGUGGGGAAUAUUGCACAAUGGGCGCAAGCCUGAUGCAGCGACGCCGCGUGAGGGAUGGAGGCCUUCGGGUUGUGAACCUCUUUCGCCAGUGAAGCAGGCCUGCCUCGUUUGUGGGUGGGUUGACGGUAGCUGGAUAAGAAGCGCCGGCUAACUACGUG